GAUGAACGCUAGCGGCAGGCUUAACACACGCAAGUCGAGGGGUAUAGUAGCAAUACUAGAGACCGGCGCACGGGUGCGUAACGCGUAUGCAAUCUACCUUUCACAGAGGGAUAGCCCAGAGAAAUUUGGAUUAAUACCUCAUAGUAUAGUAUCUUGGCAUCAAGGAACUAUUAAAGUCACAACGGUGAAAGAUGAGCAUGCGUCCCAUUAGUUAGUUGGUAAGGUAACGGCUUACCAGGACUACGAUGGGUAGGGGUCCUGAGAGGGAGAUCCCCCACACUGGUACUGAGACACGGACCAGACUCCUACGGGAGGCAGCAGUGAGGAAUAUUGGACAAUGGGCGCAAGCCUGAUCCAGCCAUGCCGCGUGCAGGAUGACGGUCCUAUGGAUUGUAAACUGCUUUUGUACAGGAAGAAACACCCCGACGUGUCGGGACUUGACGGUACUGUAAGAAUAAGGAUCGGCUAACUCCGUGCCAGCAGCAGCCGCAG
rnacentral:rRNA from 1 species